rnacentral:rRNA from 1 species
CACGUAGGGGGGCGAGCGUUGUCCGGAUUUAUUGGGCGUAAAAGAGCUCGUAGGUGGCUCGGUAAGUCGGGUGUGAAAUUUCGAGGCUCAACCUCGAGACGCCACCUGAUACUGCUGUGGCUAGAGUCCGGUAGGGGGAGCGUGGAAUUCCUGGUGUAGCGGUGAAAUGCGCAGAUAUCAGGAGGAACACCAGCGGCGAAGGCGGCGCUCUGGGCCGGUACUGACACUGAGGAGCGAAAGCGUGGGGAUCAAACAGG